rnacentral:misc_RNA from 1 species
GAUGAAGAACGUAGCGAAAUGCGAUACUUGGUGUGAAUUGCAGAAUCCCGUGAACCAUCGAGUCUUUGAACGCAAGUUGCGCCCGAAGCCAUUAGGCCGAGGGCACGCCUGCCUGGGCGUCACACGUCGUUGCCCCCCCAUCUACUCCUUCGGGAUUGCGGGGGGCGGAUGAUGGCCUCCCGUGCGCCUCGCCGCGCGGUUGGCAUAAAUGCCAAGUCCUCGGCGACGCACGCCACGACAAUCGGUGGUUGCGAAACCUCGGUUGCCCGUCGUGUGCGGUCGUCGCGCAUCGAGGGCUCGAGAAAAUUGCCGGGUUCCGGCUCGGCUUUCAACGCGACCCCAGGUCAGGCGGGGUUACCCGCUGAAUUUAAGCAUAUCAAUAAGCGGAGGA